CAGGAUGAACGCUGGCGGCGUGCUUAACACAUGCAAGUCGAACGGGAAUGCCACGCUGAUGCGAUUUCGGUCAAAUCAUGUGGCAUUCGAGUGGCGGACGGGUGAGUAACGCGUGGGUAACCUGCCUUACACAGGGGGAUAACACCUGGAAACAGGUGCUAAUACCGCAUAAGCGCACAGGGCCGCAUGGCCCGGUGUGAAAAACUCCGGUGGUGUAAGAUGGACCCGCGUCUGAUUAGCUUGUUGGCGGGGUAGGGGCCCACCAAGGCGACGAUCAGUAGCCGGCCUGAGAGGGUGGACGGCCACAUUGGGACUGAGACACGGCCCAAACUCCUACGGGAGGCAGCAGUGGGGGAUAUUGGACAAUGGGGGAAACCCUGAUCCAGCGACGCCGCGUGAGUGAAGAAGUAUUUCGGUAUGUAAAGCUCUGUCAGCAGGGAAGAGAGAAAUGACGGUACCUGACCAAGAAGCCCCGGCUAACUACGUGCCAGCAGCCGCGGUAAUAC
rnacentral:rRNA from 1 species